rnacentral:lncRNA from 1 species
AUGAAGUUCAACCAUGAAAACCAUUGCUUAUCACAAAUAUUUUUAAAGAAGAGAAAGAACACAAAAAACACCGCACAACUAAUCAACACGUCAAAACAAUUCAACAUUAUAUGCAAUCUUGUACCCACAAGAACCUGUCCAUUUCAAUAAAGAAGAAAAUGUUUCUCCCAUCUCAUCA